UCUUUCAGAUCAUGCCUCCUAGAUCUGGAACACAAGGAAAUUCUUCCAUCUCAUCCGGUGAUAAUGCUGAAGGGGUACAUCCUACAUUUGGAGUGCAUCUUUUAUCUCAUUAUCCUAUUCCUGAUGGUGCUGGAGUUCCUCCUAUUCUGACUAGUUCUCCUCAGGUCCCUCAAGGAAAUAUGACGAAUACAGAAUUUUUUUAGUCUAAUUAUGUUAUUGCCCAACUGGUUACUGCUCAA
rnacentral:lncRNA from 1 species